rnacentral:rRNA from 1 species
AUUGAACGCUGGCGGCAGGCCUAACACAUGCAAGUCGAGCGGAUGAAGGCAGCUUGCUCCUGGAUUCCGCGGCGGACGGGUGAGUAAUACCUAGGAAUCUGCCUGGUAUUGGUGUGUAACAUCCGGAAACGGGCGCUAAUACCGCCUACUUCCUGCGGGAGCAACUUGGGGAUCUUCGGACCUCACCCUAUCAGAUGGGCCUAGGUCGGAUUAGCUAGUUGGUGGGGUAAAGGCCUACCAAGGCGACGAUCCGUAACUGGUCUGAGAGGAUGAUAAGGCACACUGGAACUGAGACAGGGUCAAGAGGACUAAGGGAGGCAGCAGUGGGGAAUAUUGGGCAAUGGGCGAAAGUAUGAUACAGCGAGGGCGCGUGUGUGAAGAAGGUGUUCGGAGCGGAAAGAAGGUUAAGUUGGGAGGAAGGGCAGUAAGUUAAUACCUUGCGGGAUUGACGUUACCAAGAGAAGAAGCACCGGCUAACUACGUG